GUAUGAUGGGAAACUAUCACGUACGGUUUGGGAAAGGUUUUUUGGCUAAUGAUAAUUAUAUUUACUAUAUUUUAUUGGGGCCAAUCUACUAUUUCAC
rnacentral:ncRNA from 1 species